rnacentral:rRNA from 1 species
UACGGAGGGUGCGAGCGUUGUCCGGAAUCACUGGGCGUAAAGGGCGCGUAGGUGGCCUGUGGAAGUCUGCGGUGAAAGCCCGGCGCUCAACACCGGGUCGGCCGUGGAUACUCUCGGGCUUGAGCUUACUAGAGGCAGAUGGAAUUCCGGGUGUAGCGGUGGAAUGCGUAGAGAUCCGGAAGAACACCGGUGGCGAAGGCGGCCAACUGGACCAUUACUGACGCUGAGGCGCGAAAGCGUGGGGAGCAAACAGG